rnacentral:rRNA from 1 species
AGGGAAUCUUCGGCAAUGGACGGAAGUCUGACCGAGCAACGCCGCGUGAGUGAAGAAGGUUUUCGGAUCGCAAAGCUCUGUUGUAAGAGAAGAACGAGUGUGAGAGUGGAAAGUUCACACUGUGACGGUAUCUUACCAGAAAGGGACGGCUAACUACGUGCCAGCAGCCGCGGUAAUACGUAGGUCCCGAGCGUUAUCCGGAUUUAUUGGGCGUAAAGCGAGCGCAGGCGGUUAGAUAAGUCUGAAGUUAAAGGCUGUGGCUUAACCAUAGUACGCUUUGGAAACUGUUUAACUUGAGUGCAAGAGGGGAGAGUGGAAUUCCAUGUGUAGCGGUGAAAUGCGUAGAUAUAUGGAGGAACACCGGUGGCGAAAGCGGCUCUCUGGCUUGUAACUGACGCUGAGGCUCGAAAGCGUGGGGAGCAAACAGGAUUAGAUACCCUGGUAGUCCACGCCGUAAACGAUGAGUGCUAGGUGUUAGACCCUUUCCGGGGUUUAGUGCCGUAGCUAACGCAUUAAGCACUCCGCCUGGGGAGUACGACCGCAAGGUUG